GCUUACACAUGCAGUCGAACGGAAAGGCCCUGCUUUUGUGGGGUGCUCGAGUGGCGAACGGGUGAGUAACACGUGAGUAACCUGCCCUUGACUUUGGGAUAACUUCAGGAAACUGGGGCUAAUACCGGAUAGGAGCUCCUGCUGCAUGGUGGGGGUUGGAAAGUUUCGGCGGUUGGGGAUGGACUCGCGGCUUAUCAGCUUGUUGGUGGGGUAGUGGCUUACCAAGGCUUUGACGGGUAGCCGGCCUGAGAGGGUGACCGGCCACAUUGGGACUGAGAUACGGCCCAGACUCCUACGGGAGGCAGCAGUGGGGAAUAUUGCACAAUGGGCGGAAGCCUGAUGCAGCAACGCCGCGUGCGGGAUGACGGCCUUCGGGUUGUAAACCGCUUUCGCCUGUGACGAAGCGUGAGUGACGGUAAUGGGUAAAGAAGCACCGGCUAACUACGUGCCAGCAGCCGCGGUGAUACGUAGGGUGCGAGCGUUGUCCGGAUUUAUUGGGCGUAAAGGGCUCGUAGGUGGUUGAUCGCGUCGGAAGUGUAAUCUUGGGGCUUAACCCUGAGCGUGCUUUCGAUACGGGUUGACUUGAGGAAGGUAGGGGAGAAUGGAAUUCCUGGUGGAGCGGUGGAAUGCGCANAUAUUCAGGAGGAAACACCCAGUGGCGAAAGGCGGUUCUCUGGGCCUUUUCCUGGACGCUGAA
rnacentral:rRNA from 1 species